CUUCACAGAGUCUGAGACAAACAAGAAAGGAAAAUCAUUCCUCAUCGCAUUCUACUACCAUCGUAGAAGAUGAAAAGGUUCCCAUGGAGGGAUCAGGGAUGGAGGAAGUGAGUAGCUGCAGCUGGCAUUCAGGCAGAGGAAUUCCUGUAAGGA
rfam:Tupaia chinensis contig52297, whole genome shotgun sequence.